rnacentral:rRNA from 1 species
AGUGAACGCUGGCGGUAGGCCUAACACAUGCAAGUCGAACGGCAGCACAGGAGAGCUUGCUCUCUGGAUGGCGAGUGGCGGACGGGUGAGGAAUACAUCGGAAUCUACCUUUUCGUGGGGGAUAACGUAGGGAAACUUACGCUAAUACCGCAUACGACCUUCGGGUGAAAGCAGGGGACCUUCGGGCCUUGCGCGGAUAGAUGAGCCGAUGUCGGAUUAGCUAGUUGGCGGGGUAAAGGCCCACCAAGGCGACGAUCCGUAGCUGGUCUGAGAGGAUGAUCAGCCACACUGGAACUGAGACACGGUCCAGACUCCUACGGGAGGCAGCAGUGGGGAAUACUGGACAAUGGGCGCAAGCCUGAUCCAGCCAUACCGCGUGGGUGAAGAAGGCCUUCGGGUUGUAAAGCCCUUUUGUUGGAAAGAAAAGCAGCCAGUUAAUACCUGGUUGUUCUGACGGUACCCAAAGAAUAAGCACCGGCUAACUUCGUGCCAGCCGCCGCGGUAA